UACGGGAGGCAGCAGUGGGGAAUUUUGGACAAUGGGCGCAAGCCUGAUCCAGCAAUGCCGCGUGCAGGAAGAAGGCCUUCGGGUUGUAAACUGCUUUUGUCAGGGAAGAAAUCUUCUGGGCUAAUACCCCGGGAGGAUGACGGUACCUGAAGAAUAAGCACCGGCUAACUACGUGCCAGCAGCCGCGGUAAUACGUAGGGUGCGAGCGUUAAUCGGAAUUACUGGGCGUAAAGCGUGCGCAGGCGGCUUUGCAAGACAGAUGUGAAAUCCCCGGGCUCAACCUGGGAACUGCAUUUGUGACUGCAAGGCUAGAGUACGGCAGAGGGGGAUGGAAUUCCGCGUGUAGCAGUGAAAUGCGUAGAUAUGCGGAGGAACACCAAUGGCGAAGGCAAUCCCCUGGGCCUGUACUGACGCUCAUGCACGAAAGCGUGGGGAGCAAACAGGAUUAGAUACCCUGGUAGUCCACGCCCUAAACGAUGUCAACUGGUUGUUGGACGGCUUGCUGUUCAGU
rnacentral:rRNA from 1 species